CCUGAGAAAUAAUCUGGAGUAGAUUCUAAGCAUGUAUAUUAAGUUUCUAAAUUAUCUAUUAGUCUAGAUUUUUGGAAAUUACUACAUAAUUUAUAGAAAAACUACACAAUAAUAUUCCUUGUCCUUGCCAUCCACAAGUUAAAACAAAAAAUGCUAUGAAUGUUUGUUAUUUAAAUGUUUAACGCUCAGAGGAAGCAAUCAGAAGAACCAAGGAAAGGAAAAUUAAAACCUAAGACACUAAUAAAAAAUAAAACAGCAACUAUGAGACCUAUUUAAUUCCUAUUUCUUUCCUUUGAAAAUAAAUUGUGACUCACCAUUAAAUCCAUACCAGUGACCCAUGCAUUUAAUAUUUUAGAGAAGACAUCACAGCUGCCUUGCAUGAAGUAUUUCACCUUUGGUUUCAUUAUUUGUAGAGUUUUAGCAUUUUGUGCUUUUAAACCAAACUGUCUGGUUUUUGUUUUCUUUCUUCAGUAUAUUCGUUCUUUAUUGGACUGUCUUUGCCCUGAGAUUAUAUAUAUCAUAACCCAGCUGUACUGGUCCACUUUAUCAUACCAAAUACUAAUUUUGUCACUACCCACAUACCCAUCCGACUGUCUGGAUAAUAAGUAUUUUUAAAAUAGGAAUUUCCUAAUGCCUAAUGUACAAGCCCCAUGAAAGGAAAUCAUGCCUUACUCCAUCCAUUAAAAAAAAAUUUAGGAUGUCAGCAC
rnacentral:lncRNA from 1 species